rnacentral:rRNA from 1 species
GUGCCAGCAGCCGCGGUAAUACAGAGGGUGCGAGCGUUGUUCGGAAUUAUUGGGCGUAAAGCGCUUGUAGGCGGCUUGUUAAGUCGCGUGUGAAAUCCCCAGGCUUAACCUGGGAAGUGCGCGCGAAACUGGCGAGCUUGAAUGCCGGAGAGGGUCGCGGAAUUCCCGGUGUAGAGGUGAAAUUCGUAGAUAUCGGGAGGAACACCAGUGGCGAAGGCGGCGACCUGGACGGACAUUGACGCUGAGACGCGAAAGCGUGGGGAGCAAACAGGAUUAGAAACCCCCGUAGUCC